rnacentral:rRNA from 1 species
GUAGGGAAUAUUGCGCAAUGGACGAAAGUCUGACGCAGCGACGCCGCGUGAGUGAUGAAGGCCUUAGGGUCGUAAAGCUCUGUUGCAGGGGAAUAAAAAAAUGAAGGUACCCUGUGAGGAAGGAUCGGCUAACUUCGUGCCAGCAGCCGCGGUAAGACGAGGGAUCCUAGCGUUGCUCGGAAUCAUUGGGCGUAAAGAGGGCGUAGGUGGCUUGGUAAGUCAGGUGUGAAAGCCCAGGGCUCAACCCUGGAAGUGCAUUUGAUACUGCUGAGCUUGAGUGUCGGAGAGGUUACCGGAAUACCUGGUGUAGUGGUGAAAUACGUAGAUAUCAGGUGGAACACCGGAGGCGAAGGCGGGUAACUGGACGAACACUGACACUGAGGCCCGAAAGCGUGGGGAUCAAACAGGAUUAGAUACCCUAGUAGUCC